AAAGCCUGAUCCAGCCAUGCCGCAUGAGUGAAGAAGGCCUUUGGGUUGUAAAGCUCUUUUAGUGAGGAAGAUAAUGACGGUACUCACAGAAGAAGUCCUGGCUAACUCCGUGCCAGCAGCCGCGGUAAUACGGAGAGGGCUAGCGUUAUUCGGAAUUAUUGGGCGUAAAGGGCGCGUAGGCUGGUUAAUAAGUUAAAAGUGAAAUCCCGAGGCUUAACCUUGGAAUUGCUUUUAAAACUAUUAAUCUAGAGAUUGAAAGAGGAUAGAGGAAUUCCUGAUGUAGAGGUAAAAUUCGUAAAUAUUAGGAGGAACACCAGUGGCGAAGGCGUCUAUCUGGUUCAAAUCUGACGCUGAAGCGCG
rnacentral:rRNA from 1 species